UACGAAGGUCCCAAGCGUUAUCCGGAUUUAUUGGGUUUAAAGGGUGCGUAGGCGGGCUAUUAAGUCAGUGGUGAAAGCCCCAGCUUAACUUGGGAACUGCCAUUGAUACUGAUGGUCUUGAGUACAUUUGAGGUGGGCGGAAUGUGUCAUGUAGCGGUGAAAUGCUUAGAUAUGACACAGAACACCGAUUGCGAAGGCAGCUCACUAAACUGUAAACUGACGCUGAGGCACGAAAAGCGUGGGGAGCAAACAGG
rnacentral:rRNA from 1 species